UCGUCUCCUUCUCCAUCCCGUUCACACGAGAGUCAAGACGGCUAGGGUUUUCGUUGCCCCCUCGGCCCUUCCGCACGUUCUUUCACACGAAGCAGAUCGAGUCUAGAUGGCUAGGGUUUCAUUGCCCCCUCAGCCCUGCCGCACGGUUCAGUAAUGGCAGAUGUGGCAGGAGGCUGCUAUAGCUGGCUUCAGAAGAGAGGAGGGUAUCGUCAUGGCAGGGGUUUUAUGUGCGUUGCAUCAUGUCCAUGGCGAGUUCGAGGUGGUCGAAGGGCAAAAGUCUCCGUUCAUAUCUAGGACGGCGUCAUCAAUCAGCCGCAUCGUAGUUCAGUUCUGCAUGCAGCACGACGAGCGCGCAGGAAGCGAGCUUGGCCUUCUAUGGUGGAUAUUUGCUUCAUUCAGGUUCUACACCUCAGGUAUUACUGGUUUUAAGAUGGGAGAAUCCUCAGAGUUUAGUGGAUGGCACUUUUGUUGUACACGAAACCAAAAGUUGUGGCCACACCCUGGUGCACUCACACCCCUGAUCUGAUCCCGGAGUAAAUCUCAUAACUAUAUAUAUGUUUGAGGUUGUGCAUUCAAGACUCACCGGUGAGAGCGCUCUUGGUUUUCUUGCCUAUCUCAUGAAUUCCGCAUCAUGCAUCAUGUAUCAACAUACAGAUCCCAGUGCAUCGUUCAGAUUGUGCGCUACGCCCAGGGCAACCGCCCCUGUUUGCUUGCUCUCCAACCAAGAAAUCAUGUGUGCAUACAUAUCAACUGUAGCGCUACCCAGCCUCCGCGUACUUAGCGUCGACGAUACUCUCUUGCCGCCAGACACGCCGAUCUUAUAAAGUGAUCCUAGCUUCCCAGCCAAUGGCCGCUAACUGCAAGCCAGCUUUCUCCAUUCGAUGAGAAAAAGCAUGACUGCUUGAUAUUGACGUAUCCCCAUAACAAAUGGAACACAUGAGAUCAAAGCACAGAAGAGGAACUUGAAAGGAAAAUAAGCUGUCAGUUCCCUGCAUCUACUCCCUGUAAAUGUGGCUUGAAAGUAAAAUAGGGGCUGGAAAGACUCGGCCGUCAUGGAGCUGUAGUAAAGUGGAUUGAGAACAAAAGAUAUUGCAGCAAUAUAUGAUCACAGGUUCCCAGGAUUCAGAUUAUUUCCUUUUCUCUUUCUGCAAUUUUUGCAUGGGCUACCUGAUGUGAUGCAUUGUAUAAGAAAACGACUGAUAUGAUUUGGCUUUACUGCAUGGGAUUUCAUUACGGGAGCUUAAGAUAUGUU